rnacentral:precursor_RNA from 1 species
GUUAAGAAAACAAAGGAUAGGUGCAGAGACUCAAUGGAAGCUGUUCUAACAAAUGGAAUUGACGUUGACUACGUUGCGUUGGUAGUUGGAAUCCCUCUAUCGAAAUUACAGAAAGGAUGACCCUAUAUGCGUAUAUAUACAUACUGACAUAUCAAACGAUUAAUCACAACUCGAAUCCGGAAUCCAUAUUAUUAACUAUAAUAUUAUAAUAUUAUAGAUAUUAUAGUUAUUAUUAUAUAACUAUAUAUAUAUAUAUAUAUUUUCUUUAUAUUUUUAUUUUAAUAAAGAUAUAUUAAUAAAGAUAUAUUUUUUUAUAAAUUUAUAUAUUAAUUAAGAGUUAAUUUAAAUAUAUUCCAGUCGAAGUUGAAGGAAGAAUCGAAUAUUCAGUGAUCAAAUCAUUCAUUCCGGAGUCGGAUAGAUCUUUUGAAAAAAAAAAAAUGAUUAAUCGGACGAGAAUAAAGAGAGAGUCCUGUUCUACGUGGUCAAUACCGACAGCAAUGAAAUUUAUAGUAUUAGGAAAAUCCGUCGACUUUAGAAAUCGUGA